rnacentral:rRNA from 1 species
CCUACGGGUGGCUGCAGUGAGGAAUAUUGGUCAAUGGCCGCAGGGCUGAACCAGCCAAGUCGCGUGAGGGAUGACGGUCCUAUGGAUUGUAAACCUCUUUUGUCAGGGAACAAAGGCGGGGACUCGUCCCCGGAUGAGGGUACCUGAAGAAAAAGCAUCGGCUAACUCCGUGCCAGCAGCCGCGGUAAUACGGAGGAUGCGAGCGUUAUCCGGAUUUAUUGGGUUUAAAGGGUGCGCAGGCGGCCUGUUAAGUCAGCGGUAAAAGCCCGGGGCUCAACCCCGGCGAGCCGUUGAAACUGGCGGGCUGGAGUUGGAGAGAAGUACGCGGAAUGCGCGGUGUAGCGGUGAAAUGCUUAGAUAUCGCGCAGAACCCCGAUUGCGAAGGCAGCGUACCAGCUCCACACUGACGCUGAGGCACGAAAGCGUGGGUAUCGAACAGGAUUAGAUACCCUAGUAGUC